rnacentral:rRNA from 1 species
AAUCUUCCGCAAUGGACGAAAGUCUGACGGAGCGAUGCCGCGUGAGUGAUGAAGGUCUUCGGAUCGUCAAACUCUGUUGUUAGGGAAGAACAAGUAUCGGAGUAAUAUGCCGGUACCUUGACGGUACCUAAUCAGAAAGCCCCGGCUAACUACGUGCCAGCAGCCGCGGUAAUACGUAGGGGGCAAGCGUUGUCCGGAAUUAUUGGGCGUAAAGGGCAGGAAGGCGGUUAUUUAAGUCUGAUGUGGAAUCUUGUGGCUUAACCACAAGCGGUCAUUGGAAUCUAGAAAACUUGAGUACAGAGGAGGAGAGGGGAAUUCCACGUGUAGCGGUGAAAUGCGUAGAGAUGUGGAGGAACACCAGUGGCGAAGGCGGCUCUCUGGUCUGUAACUGACGCUGAGGUGCGAAGGCGUGGGUAGCGAACA